GGAAGGGCACCACCAGGCGUGGAGCCUGCGGCUUAAUUUGACUCAACACGGGGAAACUCACCAGGUCCAGACACAACUAGGAUUGACAGAUUGAGAGCUCUUUCUUGAUUUUGUGGGUGGUGGUGCAUGGCCGUUCUUAGUUGGUGGAGUGAUUUGUCUGCUUAAUUGCGAUAACGAACGAGACCUUAACCUGCUAAAUAGCCCAACUGGCUUUGGCUGGCUGCUGGCUUCUUAGAGGGACAUUCGGCUCAAGCCGACGGAAGUUUGAGGCAAUAACAGGUCUGUKAUGCCCUUAGAUGUUCUGGGCCGCACGCGCGCUACACUGACAGAGCCAGCGGGUUCUCUCCUUAACCGAAAGGUUUGGGUAAACCUAGAAACUCUGUCGUGCUGGGGAUAGAGCAUUGCAAUUAUUGCUCUUCAACGAGGAAUGCCUAGUAAGCGCAUGUCAUCAGCAUGCGUUGAUUACGUCCCUGCCCUUUGUACACACCGCCCGUCGCUACUACCGAUUGAAUGGCCCAGUGAGGCAUUCCGACCGGCCUGGGGAUGUUGGAAACGACAACCCUGGGCUGGGAAGUUUGUCAAACUUGGUCAUUUAGAGGAAGUAAAAGUCGUAACAAGGUUUCCGUAGGUGAACCUGCGGAAGGAUCAUUACUGAGUACUGAGAGCCUACUAGCUCGUCAUGAGUUAGUAGCUCUUUCUUCUCUUCACCCUUUGUUAUUAAUCUCCUAGUUGCUUUGGUAGGUUGCUUUGGCGCCUACCAAGGGACCUUAUUAAACACUUUGUUAUCCAAUAAUUGGUAGUCUUUUGUCUGAUUUUUAUGACUUUAAUAAGUAUAUAAAACUUUCAACAACGGAUCUCUUGGUUCUGGCAUCGAUGAAGAACGCAGCAAAAUGCGAUAAGUAAUGUGAAUUGCAGAAUUCCGUGAAUCAUCAAAUCUUUGAACGCACAUUGCGCCUUCUGGUAAUCCGGAAGGCAUGCCUGUCUGGGCGUCAUUACACCAUUCAAACCUAUGUUCUUGUGAGCAGCUUGGUUUGGUUUUGGAAUCAAACGGCCGGUUGUAUUACCACUGUUUGUUCUGUAAUGUAUUGACAAGUGUCUACUGUUCCUUAGUUGUAGCAAGUAUUUUCUCAACUUCAAGGUAGUAGUGGACGUCUUACUUUUUUGUAAUGGGUUACCAUUCAUUUUAAAGUUUGACCUCAGAUCAGGUAGGAGUACCUGCUGAACUUAAGCAUAUCAAUAAGCAGAGGAAAAGAAACCAACAGGGAUUGCCUUAGUAACGGCGAGUGAAGCGGCAUCAGCUCAAAUUUGAAAUCUGGCUCUUUUUAAGAGUCCGAGUUGUAAUUUGUAGAGGAAACUUUGGUGCGGUCUUAGUCUAAGUUCCUUGGAACAGGACAUCACAGAGGGUGAGAAUCCCGUAUGUGGCUAAAGACUUUAACCAUGUAAAGUUCCUUCAACGAGUCGAGUUGUUUGGGAAUGCAGCUCUAAAUGGGAGGUAAAUUUCUUCUAAAGCUAAAUAUUGGCCAGAGACCGAUAGCGAACAAGUAGAGUGAUCGAAAGAUGAAAAGCACUUUGGAAAGAGAGUUAAACAGUAUGUGAAAUUGUUGAAAGGGAAGCGCUUGUAAUCAGACUUGUGUAUAGGAGUUCAUCAUGGCUUUUGUCUUGACUACUCUCCUGUAUUCAGGCCAGCAUCAGUUUGGGUGGUAGGAUAAAGACCUUUGGAAUGUAGCUCCAUUUCUUAUGAAUUGGAGUGUUAUAGCCUUGGGUGUCAUACUACCAACCUAGACUGAGGAACGCACUUUUGUACGGAUGCUGGCGUAAUGGUUAUAAGCGGCCCGUCUUGAAACACGGACCAAGGAGUCUAACAUCUAUGCGAGUGUUUGGGUGUCAAGCCCGCACGCGUAAUGAAAGUGAAUGGAGGUGGGAACCCCUCGGGGUGCACCAUCGACCGAUCCUGAUGUCUUCGGAUGGAUUUGAGUAAGAGCAUAGCUGUUGGGACCCGAAAGAUGGUGAACUAUGCCUGUGUAGGCUGAAGUCAGAGGAAACUCUGAUGGAAGGUCGCAGCGGUUCUGACGUGCAAAUCGAUCGUCAAACAUGGGUAUAGGGGCGAAAGACUAAUCGAACCA
rnacentral:rRNA from 1 species